rnacentral:rRNA from 1 species
UUCCAGCUCCAAUAGCGCAUAUUAAAGUUGUUGCAGUUAAAAAGCUCGUAGUUGGAUUUGUGGUCGCCUACAUGGUCCUCUCUGAGGCACUGUUGUGGGGGUCCAUCCUUGGGCGGAUGUUGCGUGGCAUUCGGUUGUCGCGCAGGGGAUGCCCAUCGUUUACUGUGAAAAAAUCAGCGCGUUCAAAGCAGGCUUAUGCCGUUGAAUGUAUUAGCAUGGAAUAAUGAGAUAGGACCUUGGUACUAUUUUGUUGGUUUGCGCACUAGGGUAAUGAUUAAUAGGGACAGUUGGGGGUAUUCGUAUUGCAUUGUCAGAGGUGAAAUUCUUGGAUUUCUGCAAGACGAACUACUGCGAAAGCAUUUACCAAGGAUGUUUUC